UGUGUGUAUACAGCAGGUACUUGAAGUUGGCGUUGGUACAGAUGAUGUGUGUCUGUGUGUGUAUACAGCAGGUACUUGAAGUUGGCGUUGGUACAGAUGAUGUGUGUCUGUGUGUGUAUACAGCAGGUACUUGACGUUGGCGUUGGUACAGAUGGUGUGUGUCUGUGUGUGUAUACAGCAGGUACUUGACGUUGGUACAGAUGGUGUGUGUCUGUGUGUGUAUACAGCAGGUAC